rnacentral:rRNA from 1 species
UACGUAGGGUGCAAGCGUUUGUCCGGAAUUAUUGGGCGUAAAGAGCUCGUAGGCGGUUUGUCGCGUCUGCUGUGAAAACCCGAGGCUCAACCUCGGGCCUGCAGUGGGUACGGGCAGACUAGAGUGCGGUAGGGGAGAUUGGAAUUCCUGGUGUAGCGGUGGAAUGCGCAGAUAUCAGGAGGAACACCGAUGGCGAAGGCAGAUCUCUGGGCCGUAACUGACGCUGAGGAGCGAAAGCGUGGGGAGCAAACAGG